GAGUAGUCUGAUUGUGUUGUGCUAGUUGUACAAUGUCACAAAGCUGCCAACAAUAUGCUACAACACUUGUUUUUGUAUCACAACUGCAGCAUGUAAAGGAGUCUUAUGACCAGCUGCGCAAUUCUCCUGGGACGGUUUCUGGCAAAUGCAUCCAGUUUUACAAGAAAGAUCCAAACCUCUUUGGAGGACUAAAAGUUUUGUUUUGGACAGGCACUCUGGGUAAAACUGCCAAGGACUCGAUGGUCCCCACAGCGAGAGAUCUGUGGUCAACAAUGCCCAGAGCACAGGGCCCGAACCAGAGACGUGCACAAAGACAAGUGGGUAAGCCAAGGUACGCUGAGGAUGAGGUAAUGAUUUAUAGCAAUUAUGCAAACAUUUACAAGAUAUGACACAAUCUCACACCCACCCCUCACUCAUCCUACCCCAACCACUCCACCCAAAACAGACACACAUUCAUUGCCUCUCUCCCUCACACACAUCCACCCUCUUUCAC
ensembl:lncRNA